AUGCAGUUAACGGAAGCACGUGCUUGUCACGUGAUGGGCAAUUUAGAGAUGAAUUGGGGCAAAAAGUCUUCAACUUUUAGGGCUUUCUCUAUGUGAUCUUGGCGAUUAAGCAUGGUUAUCUGCCAAUGUGGGAAAGAGGAUGUGAUCGUAAGACGAUAAGGUUUGGUUUGGUUUGGUAGCAGAAUUAAUGAUGAGAGUUCAAUUUCCUUUGAUGACAUGAUGGUACGUAUAAGGCGUUAGACAAGGCGUUGUUUUUCUAAGUGAUGAGAGUUGAAUUCCGGUGAUGAAAAACUAGGUCUACAAUAUCUAUUUAUUCCAUAUCUAAAAAAAUUAAAAUUGCCAAUAUGAUAAAAAAUCAAUAAACAUUUGCUCAUAAGUUCAACUAGAAAUUAGACCCGUACGCGUUGCGGUGCGGGUACAUCACAAACAUCAAAUUGAUUAGUUCAAACGUUAUAUGAUGCGUUAACUAUAAAAAAAAAAUUAAAGUUAAGGAGGUGUAAAAAUGAAGUGAUAGUGUAAGGAGUAAAAACCCAAAUUUUAAAACUUGAGAGGGUGGCGGGCGUAAAAACAGAGUAAUAGCGCACAGGGUAAAUACACAAAGUUUAAAAGCUUAAUGGAGUGGUGACGGAAUUCAAACUUGAGGGCUAAAAAUAUGAAGUUUCAAAGUUGAGGGGUUGUUAUAAAACAUAUGGGUAAAAAAUGUAAAUAACCAAAUUAUGGGUAAAAAUGUAAAUUAUAAAAGUUUUAGGU
rnacentral:lncRNA from 1 species